rnacentral:lncRNA from 1 species
AUAAUUCAACUAAAAAGUGGGAUGUAGAUGGAUGGAACCAGAAGAAACCAUCCUAAGUGAGGUAACCUAGUCACAGAAAGGCACACAUGGUAUAGAGCAAAUGAUUAGCAGCUUUCAACCCACACCUCCAUUGAAAAUAGGAAACAAUGAUGACCAUAAGAGAGACAUACAUGGCCUUCCAGUGAAGGGGAAAGGGACAAGAGCUCCUGAACAAAUUGAGAGAAUUGGAGAGGGGGGAGGGAGGUAGGAGAAAGAGGAGGGGAGAAGAGGAGGUAUAGGAAGAGACCCUGAUUACAGGUACUGCAGACCACACCCAUUUGGGCAUGGUCACAGAUAUAUAUAGCAGGGUGUAUAAGAGCAAGGGGAGCCAGCAUGCAGACUCUCUCUCUGGGCUGAGCCAGCACUGGGAAGGUUUCUGGGUCCAAACUGCCUGAGUGCCUACCUGGUCACUGGUUCUCUGGUGUGAGUACAUCCCCUAAUAAAUUACUGGUUAAUAACUUAUCUGUGACUCAAUUUGUAUUUAUCAAUAAGGAGGGGGGAGAAGAACAUGAGGGAUCAGGAGGAUUGAGUCGGGGGAUGAAUAGAAGACAGCAAGAAAAGAGACACACCAAUAGAGUGAGCCAUUAUAGGUUUAAAGAGAAAUCUGGGAUUAGGGAAAUGUCCAGAGAUCCACAAGGAUGACUCCAACUAAGAAUUUAAGCUAUAGUGGAGAGGCUACCUUAAAUGCCCUUCUCCUAUAAUGAGAAUGAUGACUAUUGUAAAUCCCAUCCUAGAGUCUUCAUCCAGUAGCUGAUGGAAGCAGAAGCAGAGAUCCACAACUAAGCACUGAGACAAACUCCUGGAAUCCAGUUUCUGAGAGGGUGGAAAGGGUCAAUUCCAUGCUGGGAAAUCCCACAGACACAGCUGACCUGAGCAAGAGGGAACUCAUGGACCCUAGUCUGACAGCUGGGAAACCAACAUAGAACCAAACCAGACUCCCUGAAUGUGAGUGUUAGAUAGGAGGCCUGAGCAGCCUAUGGAGCCUCUAGCAGUGGAACCAGUAUGUAUCCCUAGUUCAUAGACAGACUUCAGGAACCCAUUCCCCAUGAAGGGAUACUCUUUUAGCCUAUAUACAUGGGGGAGGGCCUAGGCCCUGUCUCAAAUGACUUGACAGAUUUUGAUGAUCCUUCAUGGAAGGCCUCACCCUCCCUGUGGAGUGGAUGGGGGGGAGAGGGAACUGUGAUUGAUAUGUAAAAUAAGAAUAUUUCAU